UACGUAGGGGGCAAGCGUUGUCCGGAAUUAUUGGGCGUAAAGGGCGCGUAGGCGGCCUGGCAAGUGGAAGGUGAAAUCCCUCGGCUUAACCGAGGAACUGCCUUCCAAACUGCUUGGCUUGAGUCCGGGAGAGGUGAGUGGAAUUCCCAGUGUAGCGGUGAAAUGCGUAGAUAUUGGGAGGAACACCAGUGGCGAAGGCGGCUCACUGGACCGGAACUGACGCUGAUGCGCGAAAGCGUGGGGAGCAAACGGG
rnacentral:rRNA from 1 species